UUAAGUUAUUAAGGGCGCACGGUGGAUGCCUUGGCACUAGAAGCCGAUGAAGGACGUUACUAACGACGAUAUGCUUUGGGGAGCUGUAAGUAAGCUUUGAUCCAGAGAUUUCCGAAUGGGGAAACCCAGCAUGAGUUAUGUCAUGUUAUCGAUAUGUGAAUACAUAGCAUAUCAGAAGGCACACCCGGAGAACUGAAACAUCUUAGUACCCGGAGGAAGAGAAAGAAAAUUCGAUUCCCUUAGUAGCGGCGAGCGAAACGGGAAGAGCCCAAACCAAAAAGCUUGCUUGUUGGGGUUGUAGGACACUCUAUACGGAGUUACAAAGGACGACAUUAGACGAAUCAUCUGGAAAGAUGAAUCAAAGAAGGUAAUAAUCCUGUAGUCGAAAAUGUUGUCUCUCUUGAGUGGAUCCUGAGUACGACGGAGCACGUGAAAUUCCGUCGGAAUCUGGGAGGACCAUCUCCUAAGGCUAAAUACUCUCUAGUGACCGAUAGUGAACCAGUACCGUGAGGGAAAGGUGAAAAGCACCCCGGAAGGGGAGUGAAAUAGAACCUGAAACCGUGUGCUUACAAGUAGUCAGAGCCCGUUAAUGGGUGAUGGCGUGCCUUUUGUAGAAUGAACCGGCGAGUUACGAUUUGAUGCAAGGUUAAGCAGUAAAUGUGGAGCCGUAGCGAAAGCGAGUCUGAAUAGGGCGUUUAGUAUUUGGUCGUAGACCCGAAACCAGGUGAUCUACCCUUGGUCAGGUUGAAGUUCAGGUAACACUGAAUGGAGGACCGAACCGACUUACGUUGAAAAGUGAGCGGAUGAACUGAGGGUAGCGGAGAAAUUCCAAUCGAACCUGGAGAUAGCUGGUUCUCUCCGAAAUAGCUUUAGGGCUAGCCUCAAGUGAUGAUUAUUGGAGGUAGAGCACUGUUUGGACGAGGGGCCCCUCUCGGGUUACCGAAUUCAGACAAACUCCGAAUGCCAAUUAAUUUAACUUGGGAGUCAGAACAUGGGUGAUAAGGUCCGUGUUCGAAAGGGAAACAGCCCAGACCACCAGCUAAGGUCCCAAAAUAUAUGUUAAGUGGAAAAGGAUGUGGCGUUGCCCAGACAACUAGGAUGUUGGCUUAGAAGCAGCCAUCAUUUAAAGAGUGCGUAAUAGCUCACUAGUCGAGUGACACUGCGCCGAAAAUGUACCGGGGCUAAACAUAUUACCGAAGCUGUGGAUUGUCCUUUGGACAAUGGUAGGAGAGCGUUCUAAGGGCGUUGAAGCAUGAUCGUAAGGACAUGUGGAGCGCUUAGAAGUGAGAAUGCCGGUGUGAGUAGCGAAAGACGGGUGAGAAUCCCGUCCACCGAUUGACUAAGGUUUCCAGAGGAAGGCUCGUCCGCUCUGGGUUAGUCGGGUCCUAAGCUGAGGCCGACAGGCGUAGGCGAUGGAUAACAGGUUGAUAUUCCUGUACCACCUAUAAUCGUUUUAAUCGAUGGGGGGACGCAGUAGGAUAGGCGAAGCGUGCGAUUGGAUUGCACGUCUAAGCAGUAAGGCUGAGUAUUAGGCAAAUCCGGUACUCGUUAAGGCUGAGCUGUGAUGGGGAGAAGACAUUGUGUCUUCGAGUCGUUGAUUUCACACUGCCGAGAAAAGCCUCUAGAUAGAAAAUAGGUGCCCGUACCGCAAACCGACACAGGUAGUCAAGAUGAGAAUUCUAAGGUGAGCGAGCGAACUCUCGUUAAGGAACUCGGCAAAAUGACCCCGUAACUUCGGGAGAAGGGGUGCUCUUUAGGGUUAACGCCCAGAAGAGCCGCAGUGAAUAGGCCCAAGCGACUGUUUAUCAAAAACACAGGUCUCUGCUAAACCGUAAGGUGAUGUAUAGGGGCUGACGCCUGCCCGGUGCUGGAAGGUUAAGAGGAGUGGUUAGCUUCUGCGAAGCUACGAAUCGAAGCCCCAGUAAACGGCGGCCGUAACUAUAACGGUCCUAAGGUAGCGAAAUUCCUUGUCGGGUAAGUUCCGACCCGCACGAAAGGCGUAACGAUUUGGGCACUGUCUCAACGAGAGACUCGGUGAAAUCAUAGUACCUGUGAAGAUGCAGGUUACCCGCGACAGGACGGAAAGACCCCGUGGAGCUUUACUGUAGCCUGAUAUUGAAAUUCGGCACAGCUUGUACAGGAUAGGUAGGAGCCUUUGAAACGUGAGCGCUAGCUUACGUGGAGGCGCUGGUGGGAUACUACCCUAGCUGUGUUGGCUUUCUAACCCGCACCACUUAUCGUGGUGGGAGACAGUGUCAGGCGGGCAGUUUGACUGGGGCGGUCGCCUCCUAAAAGGUAACGGAGGCGCUCAAAGGUUCCCUCAGAAUGGUUGGAAAUCAUUCAUAGAGUGUAAA
rnacentral:rRNA from 6 species